rnacentral:rRNA from 1 species
UACGAAGGGGGCUAGCGUUGCUCGGAAUCACUGGGCGUAAAGCGCACGUAGGCGGGUUUUUAAGUCAGGGGUGAAAUCCUGGAGCUCAACUCCAGAACUGCCUUUGAUACUGAGGAUCUCGAGUCCGGGAGAGGUGAGUGGAACUCCGAGUGUAGAGGUGAAAUUCGUAGAUAUUCGGAAGAACACCAGUGGCGAAGGCGACUUACUGGACACAUAUUGACGCUGAGGUGCGAAAGCGUGGGGAGCAAACAGG